GACGAACGCUGGCGGCGUGCUUAACACAUGCAAGUCGAACGGAAAGGCCCUGCUUUUGUGGGGUGCUCGAGUGGCGAACGGGUGAGUAACACGUGAGCAACCUGCCCUUGACUUUGGGAUAACUUCAGGAAACUGGGGCUAAUACCGGAUAGGAGCUCCUGCUGCAUGGUGGGGGUUGGAAAGUUUCGGCGGUUGGGGAUGGACUCGCGGCUUAUCAGCUUGUUGGUGGGGUAGUGGCUUACCAAGGCUUUGACGGGUAGCCGGCCUGAGAGGGUGACCGGCCACAUUGGGACUGAGAGACGGCCCAGACUCCUACGGGAGGCAGCAGUGGGGAAUAUUGCACAAUGGGCGGAAGCCUGAUGCAGCAACGCCGCGUGCGGGAUGACGGCCUUCGGGUUGUAAACCGCUUUCGCCUGUGACGAAGCGUGAGUGACGGUAAUGGGUAAAGAAGCACCGGCUAACUACGUG
rnacentral:rRNA from 1 species